UUCUCUCUUCUCCCUCUCUCCUCCCGAUUCUUCCUCCAACCCCCCGACCUUUCCUCCUUCUUCUUGACGCCACGGCUACCACACUUGGAACUGAUCUCCGCCGUUGGUACCAAACGAGCCACCACUCGGCCACCGACGUUUCUUGACCCUUCGCCGGAGUUGCCGUAGCCGGAUCUGGCCGGAAAACUCCAUUUUCGCCGGAUUUCCAGUUCAAACUUCCAGCUCGAUUUUCUCCUUCAAUUCUCCACCAAAUCGAUCGAGUAAGGCACCAGGAGUCUAGCAGAUCCACAGGAGGGACCUUCAAAGGGUCCAGCUAGCUCGGACCAGCUGCAGUAGACGUGCACAGGAAUCCACCACUCGGGCCAUCAUCCUAGUUUCCGACCCACCACCAAAGUGUAGGAACUCGUGUAACUUUCUUGGAUCUGUAAAUAUGUAUAGAAAUGCUCUGAUAUUUUGUUGAACUUGAGAAACUGAAGUUGAGAUUUGUUGGAUGUAUUAAUCUGGCAGUUGGUGUGUUAGUUAGAACUGUUUGACAGGUGGAAGAAUUGGG